rnacentral:rRNA from 1 species
UACGGUAGGGCGCAAGCGUUAUCCGGAAUUAUUGGGGCGUAAAAGGAGCUCGUAGGCGGGUUUGUCGCGUCUGCCCGGUGAAACGUCCGGGCUUCAACUCCGGGAUCGUGACGGUGGGUACGGGCAGACUAGAGGUGGUGGUAGGGGAGACUGGAAUUCCUGGGUGUAGGCGGUAGAAAUGCGCAGAUAGUCAGGAGGAACACCGAUGG